rnacentral:rRNA from 1 species
UACGUAGGUGGCAAGCGUUGUUCGGAAUUACUGGGCGUAAAGCGUGCGCAGGCGGCUUUGCAAGACAGAUGUGAAAUCCCCGGGCUUAACCUGGGAACUGCAUUUGUGACUGCAUGGCUGGAGUGCGGCAGAGGGGGAUGGAAUUCCGCGUGUAGCAGUGAAAUGCGUAGAUAUGCGGAGGAACACCGAUGGCGAAGGCAAUCCCCUGGGCCUGCACUGACGCUCAUGCACGAAAGCGUGGGGAGCGAACAGG